rnacentral:rRNA from 1 species
CAAUAGCGUAUAUUUAAGUUGUUGCAGUUAAAACGCUCGUAGUCGGAAUUUGGCAGUUCCGGAUGUGUGCACGUCGUGUGCGCACUUCGCGGGGAUUGCUUUUGUGGUCUUGCGUAGGAUGAGGCACUUUUAUUAGUGAACGUCCUCACGCAACCACUUUUUACUGUGAGAAAAUCAGAGUGCUCAAAGCAGGCAUUUGCCGUGAAUGUAUUAGCAUGGAAUAAUAGAAUAGGACUUGGUUCUAUUUUGUUGGUUUGUUGGGACUGAGUAAUGAUUAAGAGGGACAGUUGGGGGCAUUUGUAUUUCGGUGCUAGAGGUGAAAUUCUUAGAUUACCGAAAGACAAACUGCUGCGAAAGCGUCUGCCAAGGAUGUUUUCAUUGA